AUUGAACGCUGGCGGCAGGCCUAACACAUGCAAGUCGAGCGGAUGAGUGGAGCUUGCUCCAUGAUUCAGCGGCGGACGGGUGAGUAAUGCCUAGGAAUCUGCCUGGUAGUGGGGGACAACGUUUCGAAAGGAACGCUAAUACCGCAUACGUCCUACGGGAGAAAGUGGGGGAUCUUCGGACCUCACGCUAUCAGAUGAGCCUAGGUCGGAUUAGCUAGUUGGUGAGGUAAAGGCUCACCAAGGCGACGAUCCGUAACUGGUCUGAGAGGAUGAUCAGUAACACUGGAACUGAGACACGGUCCAGACUCCUACGGGAGGCAGCAGUGGGGAAUAUUGGACAAUGGGCGAAAGCCUGAUCCAGCCAUGCCGCGUGUGUGAAGAAGGUCUUCGGAUUGUAAAGCACUUUAAGUUGGGAGGAAGGGCAGUAAGUUAAUACCUUGCUGUUUUGACGUUACCAACAGAAUAAGCACCGGCUAACUUCGUACCAGCCGCCGCCGUAAUAC
rnacentral:rRNA from 1 species